AUUGAACGCUGGCGGCAGGCCUAACACAUGCAAGUCGAACGAGUGGCGGACGGGUGAGUAAUGUCUGGGAACCUGCCCGAUGGAGGGGGAUAACUACUGGAAACGGUAGCUAAUACCGCAUACAAUCAGAUGUGCCCAGAUGGGAUUAGCUUGUUGGUGGGGUAACGGCUCACCAAGGCGACGAUCCCUAGCUGGUCUGAGAGGAUGACGAGCCACACUGGGACUGAGACACGGUCCAGACUCCUACGGGAGGCAGCAGUGGGGAAUAUUGCACAAUGGGAGUAAGCCUGAUGCAGACAGGCCGCGUGUAUGAAGAAGGCCUUAGGGUUGUAAAGUACUUUCAGCGGGGAGGCGUUACCCGCAGAAGAAGCACCGGAUAACUCCGUGCCAGCCGCCGCGGUAAUUC
rnacentral:rRNA from 1 species